rfam:TPA: Bos taurus chromosome 3, whole genome shotgun sequence.
UCCCUGAUAUCUCACUUGGUAAAGAAUCUGCCUGCAAUGCAGGAGACCUGGGUUGGAUCCCUGGGUUGGGAA